rnacentral:misc_RNA from 1 species
AUUUUAGAUGAUGACCAAACGUUAGGUUCAUUCUGCAGAAAUAGUUUUCUAUACCGUAAUCUCUCUCCGUGCUGCAAACAUAUAUAGCUACGAGCAUAGAAUUCCGCAUUGGAACGCAUUUGAUACGGAGCGAGCUCGCGUUGCACCGUUCACCGUUCUGUAAGUGUUAUGAAUACAAUGACGAAACGAUUUGCGCAGCCCCUUGCACAGCGAAGAAUUAACGAUACCGUGAUUAGUCACGUUUCGAACGUAAUGUAUACGCAGCCAUAUAUACUGCCAGUACUUUUUAUUGUCUACAUCUCUUUGUUUUUGCUGCGCUUAAAAAAUAAUUAUAUUCAUAUGUAUAUUUAAGCCUUGAGAGAGAAAAGAACGAAGAUUUAAAGAAAGAUAAAAAUUCGAAUCUUGAAGGACUCAAGUUUCUUCAGCAUCUCAUUUUACGGAUAUAUAUUACUAUUAUUACUACUACAUAUCAUAGACUUUACAAUAUUAUAAUAAAUAUAAUUUUUAUUUACUUCUUUAUGACACACAUACACAUACUCCAAAUUCAAUAAAUUCCAUAGCUGUUUUUUACGAAGUUUAUCACUGCAUGAAUUUAAAAAUAUUGGAAAUUAUUUAUGUAAUGUAAUAUUAAUAGAGAGAUAGAAGAUAUCUUUUACGAUACAGCGAUUAAAUUCAUGAAAAGAAAACGUUCAAUUUUUUAUUUGCAAUUUAUAAACACAAUUUAUGUCACUGCAUCAAGUUCUAACACCAUAUACUUUCGCAUUGUAUGCGCUAUCUGCGGCACGUGAUCUCUUUCUUCAAUCCACGUGCGAAUAUGACGUUCUGAAAUGAGGUACACGAAGCGCCACCUUGCGCGGUAGGCAUAAUUCUAUUAAUUAAUUGUUAUUAAACCUUACCAACCAUAAAUAACUUUUUAUUCGUAGCAGAUAAAACCGUCGAUAUGACUAUAAAUCAUUGUUAUUUAUUUUAAAUAAAUUUUCAGAAUGAAGACUAUGGCAUAAUGCAAUUUUCUAUCGAUCCCUUCAUAUAUUAAAUAAUAUGUUACUUGCAAAUGCAACUUGCAAAUUGUAUUCAAUCAGUUUCAAUCUCGCUACGUGAAAAUAGAAAGUUCUUUUCACCGUCACUAAGUUGUACUACUUAGAAAUGGAAUUACGUUUCAUCCAACAUGCACUUUUAUCGUCUCAUUUUGCAGCCAAAGGAUAAUAAAGAUCCCCAGCAGAUCUCUUUGCACCUACGAAGAUGGAAACUAGCUUUUUGCCUAGGCGCCUGUAUCAUCGCAACCCUUUUAUCAAGAUCACCGACGCCUACAGAAUGGCAACCCCCAUUACCCCGGAGCCUGAGCGCGAGCUGCGUGCAGUCCACUUGGCGUUGCAAAUGCUUCGAAACCACUUUGCAUCUCUUUUUAUUUCAAAGAAGAAAAAGAUAGAAAAUGUUCUGAAGCAUUUCCAGCGCUAAGUGGACCGUACUCUUUAUUACCCAUUGAACAAUGCAAAAUACAAAAAUGUAGUAAAUACUUGUCAUUCUGUCAGCAUCGGCUAAAGAUAACGUAUGAUACACGAACGUGCAACCGGAUCCAAAGUGCGUCUGGUCUUCUUGCUCCUCCUAGUAAAUAUCUUGCAAGUGAACAAAGUAGAAGUUAUUAUGACGUCUUUAACGAAUUUGCCACCGGUAGCAAGGCUGUCCAGCCAAGUAAUUCGUAUUUUGGGAUGCAACCCUGGAAAGAUGACAUUGCAAGGAACCAACACUUACCUCGUGGGCACAGGACACAGACGCGUAUUGGUUGAUACCGGGGAAAAAAAAACAGCGGACGCUUACAUAAAGGUCUUGAACAAUGUGUUGACUGAAGAGAACGCAACUAUCCAGCACGUGGUGAUUACUCAUUGGCACCAUGAUCACAUCGGUGGAGUGAAGCCUGUGCAAAACUUGCUGAAGGAAUUAUUUCCCACGGCUGAAUCGCCAAUCGUGUGGAAGCUGCCACGAUCACAGACCGAUCAGGACAGGUCGGACGAUGAGACGUCCGUCCAGUGGGAACCCCUGAAGGACGAGCAAGUGGUGGAAGUCGAGGGAGCGAAACUCCAAGUGAAAUACACACCGGGACACACUACCGAUCAUGCCUGUCUGUUGCUGCAGGAGGAAAAUAUCCUGUUCAGUGGCGACUGCAUCCUCGGAGAGGGCACGGCAGUCUUCGAGGAUCUCCACGAAUACAUGCUAUCGCUGAAGGAGAUUUUAAAGAUGGAGCCCAAGAUGAUUUAUCCAGGUCAUGGACCGGUCAUAGACGACCCUGCGCCACGCGUACAAUUUUAUAUCAAUCACAGGCAGCAGAGAGAAGAUGAAAUUCUGCGGAUGCUAGAUGAGCAGAAUGACAAGCCGUUGACGGAGAUGGACAUCGUCAAGCAGCUGUACAAAGAAACCCCAGAGAACCUGUGGCUAGUUGCGGCAUAUACCGUGGGACUCCAUCUUCGCAAGUUGCAAAAAGAGGGGAAAGCACAAGAGGAAAAAACUGGAGGCUGGUGGAGAGUUAAAGGCAAACUAUAAUGUGAAUAUACAUGAUAGACGAAAAACUAAUUUUUAGAAAAUAAAACUUGCAUAUUUACAUGUUUGAGAUAACUGUAAUUAAAGCUUUAUCAGAUGUAUAGCUUGAUAUUUUAAGAAGCAGUGUAUGCAAAUUUCAGAAUUAUAAAAAUUGUAAAUAUGAAAGGAGAGGAAUCUUAAUCCUUUGACUGCGGGCGAUCCGAAAGCAACUUGCGCUGUGUAUCAUCGAGUUGACAGCCGUCGUUUUAUAUGCAAAUUGUCAAGAUUAUCUUCAAGUGCCAAGAAAAAGAUCAAACACCUAAAGACGAUGACAAUACCCAGCAAACAAUCACUAUAAGUGUGACAAUCGUCAGCUAUAGCAGUCAAAGAAUUAAUUCAAGAUCUCAACAUGAAGAACUCCGUAACAUCUUCUACAAGAUCUAAGAAUUCAAAACGAGGAGAAUUCCACUUUAAAUCGUUGAUAUGAAUUUAAAAAAAAGAAGCAGGUAAAUAUUACGCGGCCAGCAGCAGGCAACGAAUGUCAUUGUGAAACAUUUAUUCAACUCACAGGAGUAAAUAAUGAUACAUUGUUACGAAUUUUUGUCAAAGUUAGGCUGAUAGCUGUUAUCAUUGAUGUGCGUACAGCGAGAAGAGUAGACGUUUUAUAAGUAGACAUUUUCACGAGGUAUAUAUCGCAAGUGGUACACAUCUUCCCUGUUUAGGCAGACCAUUAAUCAUCGCGUGCGACACAUUACACACACAACGAUCAAUAUAAAAUAUAUUUAUAAUAUAUAUAUGUAUAUACGUGUAUAUACUUGGCUAAGACAUGUGUUGUCGCGACAAUAAAUGUUUCUUUAUAUUUUUCAUU